AGAUGUGGUAUCCAAGAGAAGACCAUAGUCAGGGAUUCAGGUCCAUCUGAGUUGCUGGCCUGCAUCUUCCCAGUUCCACAUACGCCAUAUGCAGACUAAAGCAGAGGAAGACACAUCACCCAGAGGUACCGAAAUGGAGACAGAUGGAGUCCCUUGGAUGUCGAGGUGCCUCCUACGGGGGUUGGAAAUCAUUGACCACGGGCCUUUGUUCCCUAAAUUCACCUAAGAGGAGUCUUUCACUCGAACGCCCCUGCAUGGCCGCUAAUCCCCGCCUGCCGCCGCUUCCCAAGGAAAGUCCAUUUGAUCUGAGUCUACGCCUGCAAAUUAUCAGGAUAAUUAUGAUCUUUUUUAAAAAAUGAAAGGAAAGAUAUAAAGAAACCUCCACCAAGAUCUUUAGCAUCCAGAGCAGGAAUUAGCAAACUCUUCCUGAAAAGGGGCAAAGAGUGAGUAUUUUCAUCUUUCUGGGCCUCACGUAAUGGAUUGCUCAGCUCCAUGCUGUGGAAUGAAAGCAGACAAGGACAUCACUUAGUAAGUGAUAGUGACAGCUGGGUUCCAAUAGAACUCUCUUUAUGGACACCGAAACCUGAAUGUAUGUAACUUGCACGUGUCAUAAAAACAAUACUCUUUC